rnacentral:ncRNA from 1 species
GACGGCGCAUGAAAUGGAUUAACGAGAAUUCGCCACUGUCCCUAUCUACUAUCUAGGCGAAACCACAGCCAAGGGAAACGGGCUUGGCAGAAAUCAGCAGGGGAAAGAAGACCCUGUUGAGGGGCUUGACUCUAGUCCGCACUUUGUGAAGAGAGCACUGAUGAGAGGUGUAGUAUACGAUUGAGGAGGGAUGCGUCAGCGACUUUGAAAUACCACUAUACUUUUAAUCGUUUCUAUCUUUAUACUUAUUCAGUGAAGCGGGAGGCGGCCUUCACGGGCCUCGUUUCUGGUGUUAAACGGCUGGCCUUCGCGGCCGGCGUGACCUGCUCUGAAACAACAGUGUCAGGCGGGAGUUUUGACUGGGGCGGUACAUCUUGUCCAAAAGUAACGCAGGUGUCCCAAGAUGAGCUGCAGUCAGGAACGACGAAGAAACCUGGCGUAGAGGGUCAAAAGGGCAAAAGCUCAUUUUGAUUUUGAUUUUCAGUACGAAUAGCAGACCGUGAAAGCGCGCCUAUCGAUUCGCCCUUUGAUUAAUCAGAGUUUGAUGGCAAGGGUGAUCAGAAAAAGUUACCACACAGGGAGGGAUAACUGCUUGUGGGCGGCCACCAGCGUUCAUAGCGGACGUCGCGCUUUUUGAUCCUUCGAUAUGUCGCUUCUUCCUAUCACAUUGUGAAGCAAGAAUCACCAAGCGUUGGAUUGUUCAUUCACCCACGCAAUAGGGAACGUGAGCUGGGUUUAGACCCGUCGUGAAUAGACAGGUUAGUUUUACCCUACUGAUGUCUUGUCGUUGCUAUGGUAAUCCCUGCUUAGUAGCGAGAGAGGAAACCGCAAGGUUCAGACAUUUGGUUUUAUAUGUGGCUUGGUCGAAAGACCGAAAUGGUGCGAAGCUACCAUCUGAGGGAUUAAAAGACCUGAAAGCCUCUGGCUAAGUCUGAAUCCCGCCACAGAAAUGGCAACGAUACUGAUCGGUGCGCCCUGCUACGCCGGAGGCAACGAUAUACUCGGCCCCGAAAUCCGAUUCGGCGGCCGAGACUGGCUUACAAGCCACUGCGAUAGCCGAGACUGGCUAAAGCACAACUGGCGAUAGCUGGCCCAUCCCGCUGUCUUGAAAUUUGGCAGUGGAGGCACAGACACGACAUGAACCCACGAUACCACUUGAUUAAGACGUAGGGGUUCUUAUAUUGGUGGGUGGGUGCGUUUGUAGGAAGACGACUUAGAUCUCGUCGGCGGUGCCGUACCUUAGUUUGAGCAGUUCUUCACUGCGAUCUAUUGAGGCUAAGCCUUUUGACGGGGAAGAAUG